UGGGGAAUUUUGGACAAUGGGCGCAAGCCUGAUCCAGCCAUGCCGCGUGCGGGAAGAAGGCCUUCGGGUUGUAAACCGCUUUUGUCAGGGAAGAAAUCUUCUGAGUUAAUACCUCGGGAGGAUGACGGUACCUGAAGAAUAAGCACCGGCUAACUACGUGCCAGCAGCCGCGGUAAUACGUAGGGUGCAAGCGUUAAUCGGAAUUACUGGGCGUAAAGCGUGCGCAGGCGGUUUUGUAAGACAGAGGUGAAAUCCCCGGGCUCAACCUGGGAACUGCCUUUGUGACUGCAAGGCUUGAGUGCGGCAGAGGGGGAUGGAAUUCCGCGUGUAGCAGUGAAAUGCGUAGAUAUGCGGAGGAACACCGAUGGCGAAGGCAAUCCCCUGGGCCUGCACUGACGCUCAUGCACGAAAGCGUGGGGAGCAAAACAGGAUUAGAUACCCUGGUAGUCCACGCCCUAAACGAUGUCAACUGGUUGUUGGGAAGGUUCCUUCUCAGUAACGUAGCUAACGCGUGAAGUUGACCGCCUGGGGAGUACGGCCGCAAGGUUGAAACUCAAAUGAAUUGACGGGGG
rnacentral:rRNA from 1 species